rnacentral:rRNA from 1 species
AGUGAACGCUGGCGGCGUGCUUAACACAUGCAAGUCGAACGAGAACGGAAUAUAGCUUGCUAUAUUUGUCAGCUAAGUGGCGCACGGGUGAGUAAUGUAUAGAUAACCUGCCCUUAAGAAAGGAAUAACAGUUGGAAACGACUGCUAAUGCCCUAUAUGCCUUUAAUACAUAAGUAUGCAAGGGAAACGCUUUAGUGCUUAAGGAUGGGUCUGUAUGGUAUCAGCUUGUUGGUGAGGUAAUGGCUCACCAAGGCGAUGACGCCUAACUGGUUUGAGAGGAUGAUCAGUCACACUGGAAAUGAGACACGGUCCAGACUCCUACGGGAGGCAGCAGUGGGGAAUAUUGCACAAUGGACGAAAGUCUGAUGCAGCAACGCCGCGUGGAGGAUGACACAUUUCGGUGCGUAAACUCCUUUUAUAUAGGAAGAUAAUGACGGUACUAUAUGAAUAAGCACCGGCUAAUUCCGUGCCAGCCGCCGCAGUAA